AGCCUCCAGUUCCCUUUCCCAUCGGAUCAAACACUGGUCUGGGUGGUCAUCAAAGGAGGAAAAGGAACACUGAAGCUGCCCCUUGUGCUCUUGGAGCUGGGGCUCCUUUCAAACACCA